rnacentral:rRNA from 1 species
AGGGCACCACCAGGGGUGGAGCCUGCGGCUUAAUUUGACUCAACACGGGGAAACUCACCCGGCCCGGACACCGGAAGGAUUGACAGAUUGAUAGCUCCUUCUUGAUUCGGUGGAUGGUGGUGCAUGGCCGUUCUUAGUUGGUGGAGCGAUCUGUCUGGUUAAUUCCGAUAACGAACGAGACUCUAGCCUAUUAAAUAGACGUCGGGUUCUCUGCACUCGACGGUCUUCUUAGAGGGACAAGGUGCUUUUAGCACCGCGAAACAGAGCAAUAACAGGUCUGUGAUGCCCUUAGAUGUCCGGGGCCGCACGCGCGCUACACUGAAGGAAUCAGCGUGUGUUCCCUACCCGAAAGGGUUGGGAAACCCGUUGAACCUCCUUCGUGAUGGGGAUUGGGGAUUGCAAUUAUUCCCCAUGAACGAGGAAUUCCCAGUAGGCGCGAGUCAUAAGCUCGCGUCGAUUACGUCCCUGCCCUUUGUACACACCGCCCGUCGCUACUACCGAUCGAGUUAUUUGGUGAGG